CCCGAAGCCGGCCACGCCCCCGCAGCCGUCUAAUAAUUUUUUCCAUUACUCUCAUGAAGGUUGUCUCACAGAGAGAUGCAGUCAGCACCGUGCCAGAUGCCUUUCAGCUGCUGUUUCACUGGGUAGUUCUCUGAACAUCCCUACGCCAUACAUUGUUAUUGCCCCCGUUUUACUGAUGGAUCACUGAGGCUCUGCUGAGGGAUGCAUUGGUGUUGGCGCAUGGCGCGCCCCCCGCUGGUCGUCAUCUAAAAUUACGGGGUCUUUCCUCUUGCUAACCCCACUGUAAGAAAGCCUCUCCCUGUGGACCUCCUUGCGGUUCUGCUGUGGAAGCAGUCUGGCGCUCUAAACUACAUUUGAGUCUCCGGUCUUGGGCCCUGUGAACACCUCUGAAGGGUCUCUCUCACUCUUCUUUCGCUCAUCAGAACCCACCUGUUUUUGCUGGACUCUGGGGCAUCCUGGUUAGAGGGGAAAGGAAAAAAUAGAUGGGGUGGUGGACUUUCAAGAGCUGCAGUCCCCAGCACCACGAGCUCCGCAGUGGGGACCCUCUGCCCUCCAGCACAUCAGAUGAAGACGAAGACUGUGGAUCACUUCUGAGAUGGCCCCCCAGCCAAUGAGGUAGACCCAAAGCGCCGCAUCCACAGCUCACCCCAGCCGCAGGACUCACCAUGUGAGGGGGGCCAUCAGUGGGGCUGUGAGUGGGACUCAGGAGGGCAAUGUCUGUUAUUAGCCUUGGGGCAGAGAACAGGGGCACUGCGGGGCCUCCCCUCUGUCUCCUACAUUGCCAGAGCCAGGAGAAGCAAUCAGUCGGCAGUGUCCUCCCUGCCCACUUGCCUGUGUGGAAUCCCUGGACUACAACUCCCAAGACCCCCUGCUCCGUGGCAGGUUCAGCAGAUGUGUGGCUGCUGCCCUGUGGAAUGUCAGGCAGCUGAGACUGAGGCAGCUGCCCAGCAGGAACCGCUUCUGUUCAGGAGGAAUUAAUUGCCAAGGAGAGGCGGGUGCAGAGAUCAUCCUUCACAUCAGCCUUGGGAUUGAUUGCACUCUCCUCUGCCAGCAUGGCCGCCAUGGGCGGCGGCCAGCCACAAGGAGCAGCGCCACAGUGUAACCAACAUUGGUGCCGUUCAGACUCGGAUACACCACUGAGCACCGAGGACCUGCUGUGACCGCUGCCACCUGCCGCCUCUUCCCCCAUCCAGCGAGACCGCGAGACCACAAGCAUCCCUCCACACCUCCACUGGACCCCCCCCCCCACAGCUGCCGUCACCACACACUCUCCUCUGCUGGCAUGGCCGCUGCGGGCAGCAGCCAGCCACAGGAGCAGCGCCACAGUGUAACCAACAUUGGUGCCAUUCAGACUCAGAUACACCACUGAGCACAGAGGACCUGCUGUGACCACUGCCGCCUGCCGCCUCUUCCCCCAUCCUGCGAGACCGUGAGACCGUGAGCGUCGCCGCCUCUGCUGGACCCCCAUAUGGCUGCCGUCACCACAUUCCCUGUUCUAACUCACUGUUCAGCUGAUGGUACAGGACCACCACAGAACCGGAAU